GAGCAGGGACGAAAGUCGGGCAAAGUGAUCCCACGGUACCGUGUGGAAGGGCCGUGGCUUAACGGAUAAAAGCUACCCCGGGGAUAACAGGCUUAUCUUGCCCAAGAGUUCACAUCGACGGCAAGGUUUGGCACCUCGAUGUCGGCUCGUCGCAUCCUGGGGCUGAAGCNGGUCCCAAGGGUUGGGCUGUUCGCCCAUUAAAGCGGCACGCGAGCUGGGUUCAGACCGUCGUGAGACAGGUCGGUCUCUAUCCGUCGUGGGCGUCCGGAGAUUUGAGGGGAGCUUUCUCUAGUACGAGAGGAUUGAGAAGGACAGACCUCUGGUGUACCAGUUGUUCUGCCAAGGGCAUAGCUGGGUAGCUAAGUCUGGUUCGGAUAAGCGCUGAAAGCAUCUAAGUGCGAAGCCGGCCCCAAGAUUAUAUCUCCCAUCCCGAUUUAUCGGGAGUAAGACCACAAGUAGACUACUUGUUUGAUAGGCGGUGGGUGAAAGGGCAGUAAUGUCUUUAGCUUAACCGUACUAAUGGUCGAGGGCUUGACCUG
rnacentral:rRNA from 1 species